AUGUGUAUCGAUUUAAGUGAUAGUAUUUGUAACAGUGUAAAUAAUAGUAUUAAUGAAAGUUUCAGUAGUAGUAUUGGUGACAAUCUUUCUAACACCAUGAAUAAUAUAAAAAAUAGUAUUAACAAUAUUAAUAACAAUUUUAAUAAUAACAUGAAUGAUAAAAGUAAUUCCAUAAAUCAAGGUUCUACAUUCAAAUCAGGUGGUAAUAAAAUAGCCAGUUUUGUAAAUUACGAUAAUAAUUUAGAGUUAAAAAAUAAAAAUGAUACCAAUAUAUAUAAUAAUAACUUAUCAAUAAUAAAUAAUAAAAAAGAAAAUGUAGAAAAAAAAAAUAUAGAACAAUAUAGAAAUGCAAAUGCUACAAAUAUUAAUAAAAUAACAAACGAAAAAACGAGCGAAACAGCAAAUGGAGUAACAAACGAAAAAACAUAUUACAACAAUAAUGGUAGAGAAAAUGAUAAAAAAUUAACUAACGAAAUGUUAGAAAGUAAAUCAAAUAUUUUGAAUUCAUCUGAUAAAUAUAAUUAUGAACAGUUAACUAACAGUAUAAAUAAUAAAAUAAAUGAUAAAAUGAAUAACCACAAUUUAAAUGAUAGUAUUAUUAAUAAAAAUAGUUCACCAAAACAUGAAAGUGAAAAAGGUAACAAACAUGGUAAACAAACAACAAGUAAUAAUAAAGACUUAACACGUAAAAGUAAUUCAAUAAAACAUCCAAAAAGUGAUAUAAAAAGAAUUAAUGAUAUGAACAAUUCAGAUAAAUAUAUGACAACAUCAGUUGAUAGUUUUGCAUCUGAAUUUUCAAACACAAUUAACCAAUUAAAAAAUAGUAUAUUGAAUGAAAAUGAAAGUUUAAUAGGUUCACAAUCUAAUUUAGAUGUAUCUAUAUACAGUAUUGCAGAAUCAAAAAAUCAAACAGAUUUAAUGAAAAGUUCAUUAAUAUAUAAAGAUAUUCAAAAAAAGUCAUCUUAUUAUUUAAAAGAAUCGAUUAAAAAUCAAAUGAAUAUAAAUAAUGUCACAUGUAAUGACAGAAACAGUUUCUCAAACAAUAAAAGUAAUUUACAUAUUAAUUCGAUUCACAAUAAUAUAAAUGAAAAUAAUAUGAACGGGUCAUAUAAUAAUAAGUUAGACAAAUCAAACAAAUAUUUAAUAGUAUCGAAAUAUAAUAAUAGUAAUUCUAAAACAAUAAAUAACGAAUUAACAUGUUCUAACAAUAAGUCAAAACAUGAAAUAUUAAAAUUGAGUAAUAACAAUACGAGUUAUAAUAAUAAUCAUGAUUCAAAAAGUCAUGUGUUGAAAUCUUCAAACAACGUAACAAAUACAAACAACUUAAGAGAUACAAACAACUUAAGAGAUACAAACAAUUUAACAGAAUCACAUUUGAGAAGCUCGAAAAAUAAUUAUAAUAAAAAAGAAUUAAACAAUUCAACUACCUCAUUAUAUGAUAAUAAACAAAAUGUAAACAGAAAUGUCGUAUUAAAUGAAUACAGUUUAUCCAACAAAAAUAAAAACAAUUAUAAUUUAAAUAAAAGUGAAGAUAUAUACAAAGAAAAAAAUAUUAAUUCUCAUGAACAAUUUAAUAAAUCAAUAAAUAAUGAAGAAGAACAAAAUAUAAACUUAAAUUUAUUACACCAAUCUAUAAAAAAUAUACAAGAACAAUGGAAGCAUAAAAUGUCAGAGAGUACUAAUACUUUAUUAAAUGCUAAAAGUAAAAAGUACAAUACACAGAAUGUUAAUUCGAAUUUUGAAAAUGGUACUAGUACGAAUGAAUUUAAGGAUAGUGAACUGAAACAU
rnacentral:lncRNA from 1 species